UGGAGGUAAAUGAGGGCAGGAGAUUAAGUGAGGUCAGGAGAUCUACGAGGUCAGGAGAUCUAUGCUCAUUCACCAGGCAGCAAAGUACAAGACAUGCACGUUGGGUGCAGAGAGCAAUAUAAACACAGACAUUUCACCAUCAGCACACAAAUGCUUUUUGGCAAAUCAUCUCCUGCUCUGUUGGAUAUUAUGUCUCUGCGGAGUCUGGAGAAAAUCAGAAAAUCCAGCUUGUUUGCCCUGGUUUUGGCAGUUUAAUUUAGGAAUCAUACUGGCUUUCCACAAACUCUUUACCAAAAAAUGUAUUCUGUCUUUUGAACACGUGAGUUAACUUGGGCCCAAGGGAAAGGAUUGUAUAUGAUUACAUAAUAGUUACUCCAUGACUUUAAAACCAAAUGGCAGUCUCAGGCAGCAAAGUCA